GUGUAGCUGAAAUACUUGAAAAAAAUUAUAUUAAAUAUGUUUACAUCUAAUGAAUGAUAAAGUAAAUUCAUUGCCUUAAAAUUUAGUUGGAUCUUUUAUUUAUCAUGCUCAGUUAAUGUAUUGCAUGUGUAUAGGCCAUUGACUAUAAUUUUUCAUAAAUUAUAAUCAUAUGCUUGUAUGAAAACUUUUAUCCUAGCUUUUCAAUAGAUAUAAUUUGAUCUAUU
rnacentral:lncRNA from 1 species